UGACGCCCCUCACCCACCGCUGAAGAUCCCAGGUGGGCGAGGGACUGGCAUGGAUC
rfam:Salmo salar isolate Sally breed double haploid chromosome ssa26, whole genome shotgun sequence.